UACGUAGGGAGCGAGCGUUGUCCGGAUUUAUUGGGCGUAAAGAGCUCGUAGGCGGUUUGGUAGGUCGGAUGUGAAAUCUCCAGGCUCAACUUGGAGGGGUCAUUCGAUACUGCCAUGACUAGAGUUCGGUAGGGGAGUGUGGAAUUCCUGGUGGAGCGGUGAAAUGCGCAGAUAUCAGGAGGAACACCCGUAGCGAAGGCGGCACUCUGGGCCGGAACUGACGCUGAGGAGCGAAAGCGUGGGGAGCGAACAGG
rnacentral:rRNA from 1 species